GCGCGGGAGCCCCGGCCAAGCCUAGGGACCCGAGCGCGCCCCCUCCCAGCGUCUGAACACGAGCAACUUCCUGCCGCCCGGGACGGAGUUUCUCCGUUGCCCAUGGACGUCCAGGAAGCCGUGUGGAGGGCAAGCAGGGUAACUCCCACUCCCACCCCACCUUUAUCCCGGGGAAGCCAGAGGAGCAAGCAAGUCCGGACUCGCUGAGGGGGCUCCACGCGGGGCCUCCCACGCACAGCAGGUAUCAGUUGCCUCCUCAACCCCUUCAAGAAAAGCAAGAGAUCCACUGACCCACCCUGAGCACUGCAGUGCACUGGAGGCUGAGACCAGCUGGGCCGCACAACCUUGGGUCAACCCUACUGGAACCUCUUCUACUUUCUACAGUGGUAGCCUCUGGGCCCUCCAGGUAAGGCAGGAGGCUACAAACUCCCCCAAGGCAGAAGUGAAAUCAGGGAGACACGGACCAGAAGGAAAACGGGUCAAAUGGCCCCUGCGCUGGAGCACUGCAGCUCUGCUUUUAAUAACUGGCCAGGUGUACACGAGACCCAAGAGAGACCUGGAAAUGGAAUCCCUUGCAGGGGCUCAAGACCUCUUGCUGUCGACAAAUUGAUUGAUACCAGUUGAAUGUAGCAGCUGCUCAAUGAGAAGAUUAGGAGCGUCUGCCGUCUGGAUCAUUGAAAGGAUUUGCGUCUGCUCCUCUCUGGCCUCAGUCUUUGACUGCUCCCUUCAUUCCCGAGUCCUUCAAAUA